rfam:Salmo salar isolate Sally breed double haploid chromosome ssa19, whole genome shotgun sequence.
CCUAAUUGCUCGUGUAAAUUGCUCUGGAUAAGAGCAUCUGCUAAAUGACUGAAA